CUUGCUGGAUUUAGGUACACUUUAGGUACUCACAGAUUUUCAGUGCAAUCCUAUGCAUGUCUAUAGGACUGCAGCCUCACUAUAUCAACUGUUUGCUAGUUAGGGGGGGGAAAUGGAAUAAAAUGUGAUUUCACAAGGACAGAAGAACUUCGUUGGGAUUAUACCCAAGAUCCAUUAGUCCAGAAUCUUGUUUCUAACAAUGGCUUGCCAGAUGCUUCUGGAAAGCCUGCAAGCAGGGCACAAGCUUUCCUGCCCCACUCUGCUGACUGCCAUAUUCUGGCUAAUUCUGGCUUCUGUGAAUUUGUCUCCUCUUCCUUAUAAAGCCAUCUAAGUGAGUGGUCACUAAAUCUUGUGCCGCAGAGAUCCAUAAAUAUGUCAUGUGAUGAUGGAUGUUCUCGGUGUCCUGAAUCUACUGACAAAAAGUUACAUUGGGUGAAGGAACAUUCAAUCCGUUGUGGGGGAAUGAAAACGGCAAGUCCAGCUGUGUGAGCUCAGCGAGCGCUCCGACAAAUGCUGCUGUAAGGUGGCUUUAAACCAGUAGUGAAAAGAGUGCUGCUCCCAUCCCCCAGAUAAUUGGACUAUAUGACAUUGCAUUGUGGAGGAAUAAAAACGAUGGCGCUAGUACUGAGCCAAAGUGAGGGGGGAAUUAAAGGGCCCAAACCAGGCCCUCCAGUCAGUGGGCUCUAAGUGGGUCCUGGUAUUUGCACAAGAAUGCAACAUGCUGGUGCUGGGCCUAGUGUCUCUCUACAGAAGUUCCAGAUUUUAAUUUUUCAGCAUCUUGGGUUGUAUCCAGGAUCUGCCUUCCACAAGAGGAAGGGACCUUCUUUGAGUGGAGCCCACCACUCAAUUUUGGGGGAUCUCCCACUCCUGCCCUACACCACAGUUCACUCCAUUCAGCAGUAUCUCCUGACUUUGUUUAGCAUUUACAAGAGGCUGGGAAGGAGAGGGCAAGGGAGUCCACUUCCACCAGCACAGUUGAUCCAGCGUACACCUGGAUCCAAUCCAUUGUGUAACAUACAUUUGUUAUUAGGGGAUAUUUAUUUAUUUAUUGCAUUUCUAUACUGCCCAAUAGCCGGAGCUCUCUGGGCGGUUCACAAUAUCAAAAUUGUGUAACGAUCAGGCAAACACUAACCUCUGUGUGACUUGAUCAUUCAUAGGAGAAUGGACGCUAUGUGGCAGCUGAUUGUUCUAAGUAUCUGAAAGACCUGUUUUUGUCUGCACCUGGAGACUUAACUUCUAGACAGUACACAGGGUCAAACUUGAGUUUCCUGUUAGGUGUGUACUCCACAGGAAGCCUAUUCAUCCAGGCUUUCUAAUCUUAUGGCAACCUUCCACAAUCUGGUCCAGAUGUGUUAGAUUACAACUCCCAUUAUCCCCAGGAAGUUUUAGCCCACAUCUGGAGGGUUUCAAAUUGGGGGGAAGCUGCUAUAUGGCACAUAUACCUGCAAGCAAGCAUUUGCUCUAUACAGACUAUAUAUUUAAAUGGACACUAUCUUUCCCCAUGUGAGGUACAGCACACAUACAGGAAGGGAUCUCCAUAAGGCAGCCUUCCCCAUAUCCUCCAGAUGUGUUGGACUACACAGUAGUAAUGUUAAUUAUGAAUAUACAGUUUUUAACAAGAGCGUUAUCCUACAACAAACUUUUAGUACUUGUACUAAAACAUAAUUUUAUAGAACAGGAAGAUUUUGUGCAAAACAACGCAAGAUCCUAGUUUUGAUGUGUUUGCAAGAGCCUAAGUGCCCCCUCCCUGUCUGAAAGCUGCUUCAGGGGUGGGAUGGGAUGGGAUGGCAGGUAACAGAAAGGAAGUUGUGAAGAGGACUGAACCCUUUUCUAAUCCAUUAUUUGUGUCUUAAAUUGCUUUGAAGAGGCUUCCCUCACCCCCAGUAUUCCAAAUGUUUAUUUGUGAGGGUUUUGGAAACCACAUUUGGGGAAGGGAACAAUUUGGAGUACAAAUACUAGACUGGGAAAGGGUUCAGUGGCCUAUGCUUCCAAGCAUCUUUCUUCUGAAGUGGACUUCAUGUAGAGAAAGGGCUGUUGGGCUACUAUUCCACAUGCUUGUGUGCAAGGUGCAUUAACCUACUAGAGCCUGGAUCACAUUUUAGGCAAUGAGAUUGGUCUCUCCUGCUGGUAGCAGCAGUAGAGUGAGCUCACCUGUGAGGAGUUGUUAGGUGUGAAAUGUGCCUUCUGUCACGUUCCAAAAUAACAUAGAAAACUGCCUCAUAUAUGUCCAUCUAGCCCAGUGCUUAGCAGUGGGUCCCCAGCAAAGGUCCUCUACAGCAAGGGUGAGGAAUGUGUGGCCCAUCCAAUGUUGGUGGAUUGCAGCUCUCAUAAUCUUUAUCCAGAAUAACCAAUGAUGAGGGAUGGUGGGAGUUGCAAUCCAACAACACCUGGAGAGCUGCACCUUCCCCAUCCCUGUCCUCAGGGCCGGCUCAUGAUAUUGUGCCACCUGUGGCAGAGUGGCAAAUGGCACUUCACUCAACCACCCAGCCAAGUUAUUUUAAUAAAUGAGGCAGAAAAUCACAUACGCACCUCUCUCCAUUCCUGGCCGUAGAAAUAUAAUAAAAACAAAGUAAAUAACGAACAAUCUGCUGCCUGGGGUGACUGCCUCACUCUGCCUUAAGAUAGGGCUGGCCCUGCCUUAUUCUACAGUAUGAACUCAGAUCGGCUACAGGUUUGACCCAGGGCUGGUAGGGAAACACUAUUCUAGCUUCUUGACUUUUGAAAAGAUGUGGCUGGGCCAUCCUGGCUUCAUUUCUUGUGAAGCAAAGUUUAGGUGCAGGGCAAACUCUCUGUGGUUUCCUGCUCCUUCCUUAACUUUCUACCCAACAGCCUUUUAGGAGUAGUUUAGUGCAGGAAAUGUGCUUUGGCUGGAGGGUAAGGAAAACUGGUGCUGCUAGUGUCUUUAAAAAAUAAAUAAAAAAUCCUCAUGCCUCAACAAAUAUUAUUUUGAAAAAUGUAUUAUUGAUACUCAAAAUACCUACCUAAAUUCUGUAAAUUAACUUUGAAGGAAUAUUUCCUGUGGUUGAUUGUAAACGUCUUUCACCUGCUUUUACAUUUAUUGUGAGGGAAUAUUAAAGAGUCCUUUUUUUAUAUA